AGUGAACGCUGGCGGCAGGCCUAACACAUGCAAGUCGAACGGCAGCACAGUAAGAGCUUGCUCUUACGGGUGGCGAGUGGCGGACGGGUGAGGAAUACAUCGGAAUCUACUUUUUCGUGGGGGAUAACGUAGGGAAACUUACGCUAAUACCGCAUACGACCUACGGGUGAAAGCAGGGGAUCUUCGGACCUUGCGCGAUUGAAUGAGCCGAUGUCGGAUUAGCUAGUUGGCGGGGUAAAGGCCCACCAAGGCGACGAUCCGUAGCUGGUCUGAGAGGAUGAUCAGCCACACUGGAACUGAGACACGGUCCAGACUCCUACGGGAGGCAGCAGUGGGGAAUAUUGGACAGGGGGCGCAAGCCUGAUCCAGCCAUACCGCGUGGGUGAAGAAGGCCUUCGGGUUGUAAAGCCCUUUUGUUGGGAAAGAAAAGCAGCAGGUUAAUACCCCGCUGUUCUGACGGUACCCAAAGAAUAAGCACCGGCUAACUUCGU
rnacentral:rRNA from 1 species